ACACACUGUGGCACACUAAAGUGCAAUUCUUCUUUAAUGCUUCACAUUUUUGAGUGAUUAAACAACAAACCUGUUAAAGCUAGAGAUUUAUUAGAUCUCUAUAAGCUAUAUCUCCAGCGUAUCUUGAGACUAACAGAAUAAAGCUCAGCUGGUGAAGAGUUAUUGGGUCCAUUUUAAUUCGUUUGACAGGCAACACUCUUCAAAGUGCAGACGACCUGACUGAUCGAGUUUCAGAGGAGUUGGAGAAAGCAGAGGGGAAGGAGAUGGAGGGAGGAUGAAGAGAAAGAGGAAGAAAAAGGAGGAGGGUAGAGAAGGAGCGAGGAAAAAGCCUGGAGAAGAGAGACUGGAAGCCAAGGAAGCUCAGCUCUCUUUCAUUUGGAAUGUGGAUUUGUCUGCCGUCUGGGAAAGAGUAGACGAUUCCAACGUGGUGCUUUCUUUAACCUCAAUUGCCUUCAUCUCUUUCUUUAGACAAGAAAUAAACAUUAAAAUCAUGGUGACGCAAACGACCCUCAGGAAGAAAGUCAGGAAGAAAAAAGUGACGAAUGAUGAUUAACAUGAGCCCUCAGUAAAUCAGCUGCAAGGCAUGUGUCUGCCUUUUUUCCACUCCCCUAUUCUUGAGUUCGACCUUGGGACAUCCCAUUCACUCCACCCUCUCUGGAUAUUUUUUUUUUCCCCCCUCUCUAGCUUUCUUCCCUCAUAUUCUGGCAAGCUCCCAAUGUUGAUGUGGCAGUCAGUUAGAUGAAUCUUUUCUGAAGAGAGACAGAGAGAAAGGAAAGCAGUGACAACGAGGAAUCUGGGUAACAGUCACCGCUGCCUUUCUGAUAUUUGGUUUGCAUUGUAAUGCUUUGACUAGGUGCAAAUGCUUUGACCUGGAGCUCAUUUUUCCAGCAUUAACAAUUAGCAUGAAUGUACAUAGAUGAACACCAUGGAGUAUGAAAUUCUAGUUGGAAAAAAUAUAAGGAAACGAAAUAAAACAAUGGAAUAAGGGUACUCAUAUGAUUAUAUGAGGAGAAAUGUUAUGAUGGGAACAAUAACCAGAUAGUUCAGAUUUUUAAGCAGAUAAGUAUUUUUCAAUAAUAACUUGAAAAUGAGAUGUGCUUGUGGCCAGAUUUUCACCAGAUGGAAAUACGGACAGUUAUAUUUGGAAAGCAACCUUGAUCCUGUGUGUAUGAACCUGGUGAUGAUCCACUCCCUCAUUCACGCUCCUCUCUCAUGACCUGUGACCUACAUUUACAUUUGUUUAUAUUUAUUCAUUCUUCAGAUGCUUUUAUAUAAAGUUAAGAA